AUUGAACGCUGGCGGCAGGCCUAACACAUGCAAGUCGAGCGGGGGUAGCAAUACCCUAGCGGCGAACGGGUGAGGAAUGCUUGGGAAUCUGCCUGGUAGUGGGGGAUAACGUUCCGAAAGGAACGCUAAUACCGCAUACGUCCUACGGGAGCAAGGGGGGGAUCUUCGGACCUCUCGCUAUCAGAUGAGCCCAAGCGGGAUUAGCUAGUUGGUGGGGUAAGGGCCCACACAGGCGACAAUCCCUAGCUGGUACGAGAGGAUGAGCAGCCACACUGCAGGUGAGACACGGGCCAGACUCCUACGGAAGGAAGCAGUGGGGAAUAAGGGACUAUGGGCGCAAGCCGUAUCCAACCAUGCCGCGUGUGUGAAGAAGGCCUUCGGGUUGUAAAGCACUUUAAGCGAGGAGGAAGGUUCGUUACAUAAUACGUAACGGAAUUGACGUUACUCGCAGAAUAAGCACCUGCGAACUCUGUGCCAGCCGCCGCAGUAA
rnacentral:rRNA from 1 species